rnacentral:rRNA from 1 species
GUAGGGAAUAUUGCGCAAUGGACGAAAGUCUGACGCAGCGACGCCGCGUGAGUGAUGAAGGCCUUAGGGUCGUAAAGCUCUGUUGAAUGGGAAGAAAAAAAUGACGGUACCAUUCGAGGAAGGACCGGCUAACUUCGUGCCAGCAGCCGCGGUAAUACGAGGGGUCCUAGCGUGGUUCGGAAUCAUUGGGCGGAAAGGGUGUGUAGGUGGCCAUGUAAGUCAGGUGUGAAAGCCCCGGGCUCAACCCGGGAAGUGCACUUGGUACUGCGUGGCUUGAGUACCGAAGAGGGUAGUGGAAUUCCAGGUGUAGUGGUGAAAUACGUAGAUAUCUGGAGGAACACCGGUGGCGAAGGCGGCUACCUGGUCGAGUACUGACACUGAGACACGAAAGCAUGGGGAUCAAACAGGAUUAGAUACCCGGGUAGUCC